GCCGGGGACCUUUUGGAGUGGACCGGCCCGAACCAGGUCAGGACAGGAAUGUAGCAGCCUUAAGGGUUUAGGCCAUGCCAGAAGACAAUCUCCGGCUUU
rnacentral:SRP_RNA from 1 species